rnacentral:sRNA from 1 species
UGACGUUUAUUACCGUUUUCUGCCAUUC